CAGGACGAACGCUGGCGGCGUGCCUAAUACAUGCAAGUCGAGCGGACAGAAGGGAGCUUGCUCCCGGAUGUUAGCGGCGGACGGGUGAGUAACACGUGGGUAACCUGCCUGUAAGACUGGGAUAACUCCGGGAAACCGGAGCUAAUACCGGAUAGUUCCUUGAACCGCAUGGUUCAAGGAUGAAAGACGGUUUCGGCUGUCACUUACAGAUGGACCCGCGGCGCAUUAGCUAGUUGGUGGGGUAAUGGCUCACCAAGGCGACGAUGCGUAGCCGACCUGAGAGGGUGAUCGGCCACACUGGGACUGAGACACGGCCCAGACUCCUACGGGAGGCAGCAGUAGGGAAUCUUCCGCAAUGGACGAAAGUCUGACGGAGCAACGCCGCGUGAGUGAUGAAGGUUUUCGGAUCGUAAAGCUCUGUUGUUAGGGAAGAACAAGUGCGAGAGUAACUGCUCGCACCUUGACGGUACCUAACCAGAAAGCCACGGCUAACUACGUGCCAGCAGCCGCGGUAAUACGUAGGUGGCAAGCGUUGUCCGGAAUUAUUGGGCGUAAAGGGCUCGCAGGCGGUUUCUUAAGUCUGAUGUGAAAGCCCCCGGCUCAACCGGGGAGGGUCAUUGGAAACUGGGAAACUUGAGUGCAGAAGAGGAGAGUGGAAUUCCACGUGUAGCGGUGAAAUGCGUAGAGAUGUGGAGGAACACCAGUGGCGAAGGCGACUCUCUGGUCUGUAACUGACGCUGAGGAGCGAAAGCGUGGGGAGCGAACAGGAUUAGAUACCCUGGUAGUCCACGCCGUAAACGAUGAGUGCUAAGUGUUAGGGGGUUUCCGCCCCUUAGUGCUGCAGCUAACGCAUUAAGCACUCCGCCUGGGGAGUACGGUCGCAAGACUGAAACUCAAAGGAAUUGACGGGGGCCCGCACAAGCGGUGGAGCAUGUGGUUUAAUUCGAAGCAACGCGAAGAACCUUACCAGGUCUUGACAUCCUCUGACAACCCUAGAGAUAGGGCUUUCCCUUCGGGGACAGAGUGACAGGUGGUGCAUGGUUGUCGUCAGCUCGUGUCGUGAGAUGUUGGGUUAAGUCCCGCAACGAGCGCAACCCUUGAUCUUAGUUGCCAGCAUUUAGUUGGGCACUCUAAGGUGACUGCCGGUGACAAACCGGAGGAAGGUGGGGAUGACGUCAAAUCAUCAUGCCCCUUAUGACCUGGGCUACACACGUGCUACAAUGGACAGAACAAAGGGCUGCGAGACCGCAAGGUUUAGCCAAUCCCAUAAAUCUGUUCUCAGUUCGGAUCGCAGUCUGCAACUCGACUGCGUGAAGCUGGAAUCGCUAGUAAUCGCGGAUCAGCAUGCCGCGGGUGAAUACGUUCCCGGGCCUUGUACACACCGCCCGUCACACCACGAGAGUUUGCAACACCCGAAGUCGGUGAGGUAACCUUUAUGGAGCCAGCCGCCGAAGGUGGGGCAGAUGAUUGGGG
rnacentral:rRNA from 2 species